GAUGAACGCUGGCGGCGUGCCUAAUACAUGCAAGUCGAGCGAACGGACGAGAAGCUUGCUUCACUGAUGUUAGCGGCGGACGGGUGAGUAACACGUGGAUAACCUACCUAUAAGACUGGGAUAACUUCGGGAAACCGGAGCUAAUACCGGAUAAUAUUUUGAACCGCAUGGUUCAAAAGUGAAAGACGGUCUUGCUGUCACUUAUAGAUGGAUCCGCGCUGCAUUAGCUAGUUGGUAAGGUAACGGCUUACCAAGGCAACGAUGCAUAGCCGACCUGAGAGGGUGAUCGGCCACACUGGAACUGAGACACGGUCCAGACUCCUACGGGAGGCAGCAGUAGGGAAUCUUCCGCAAUGGGCGAAAGCCUGACCGAGCAACGCCGCGUGAGUGAUGAAGGUCUUCGGAUCGUAAAACUCUGUUAUUAGGGAAGAACAUAUGUGUAAGUAACUGUGCACAUCUUGACGGUACCUAAUCAGAAAGCCACGGCUAACUACGUG
rnacentral:rRNA from 1 species